GAUGAACGCUAGCGGCAGGCCUAAUACAUGCAAGUCGAACGGUGUCUUCGGACAUAGUGGCGCACGGGUGCGUAACACGUAUGCAACCUACCUUACAUUGGGGGAUAGCCUUUCGAAAGGGAGAUUAAUACCGCAUAAGACAGUAGCUGGGCAUCCAGCAGCUGUUAAAGAUUAAUCGAUGUAAGCUGGGCAUGCGUCCAAUUAGCUAGUUGGUGAGGUAACGGCUCACCAAGGAAAUGAUUGGUAGGGGAACUGAGAGGUCAAUCCCCCACACUGGCACUGAGAUACGGGCCAGACUCCUACGGGAGGCAGCAGUAGGGAAUAUUGGGCAAUGGACGCAAGUCUGACCCAGCCAUGCCGCGUGCAGGAUGAAGGCGUUAUGCGUUGUAAACUGCUUUUAUACAGGAAGAAACGACUCUUGCGAGAGGCAUUGACGGUACUGUAUGAAUAAGCACCGGCUAACUCCGUGCCAGCAGCCGCAGUAACAC
rnacentral:rRNA from 1 species